rnacentral:rRNA from 1 species
GAUGAACGCUGGCGGCGUGCCUAAUACAUGCAAGUCGAGCGAACAGACGAGGAGCUUGCUCCUCUGACGUUAGCGGCGGACGGGUGAGUAACACGUGGAUAACCUACCUAUAAGACUGGGAUAACUUCGGGAAACCGGAGCUAAUACCGGAUAAUAUAUUGAACCGCAUGGUUCAAUAGUGAAAGACGGUUUUGCUGUCACUUAUAGAUGGAUCCGCGCCGCAUUAGCUAGUUGGUAAGGUAACGGCUUACCAAGGCAACGAUGCGUAGCCGACCUGAGAGGGUGAUCGGCCACACUGGACCUGAGCAACGUUCCAGACUCCUAGGGGAGGCAGCAGCAGGGAAUUUUCCGCAAUGGGCGAAAGCCGGACGGAGCAACGCCGCGUGAGUGAUGAAGGUCUUCGGAUCGUAAAACUCUGUUAUUAGGAAGAACAAAUGUGUAAGUAACUAUGCCCGUCUUGACGGUACCUAAUCAGAAAGCCACGGCUAACUACGUG